rnacentral:rRNA from 1 species
UACGUAGGGUGCAAGCAUUAAUCGGAUUUAUUGGGCGUAAAGGGCGCGUAGGCGGUGGGACAAGUCAGAUGUGAAAUCCCGGAGCUCAACUCCGGAACAGCAUUUGAAACUAUCCCGCUAGAGGGUAGGCGGAGAAAACGGAAUUCCACAAGUAGCGGUGAAAUGCGUAGAUAUGUGGAAGAACACCGGUGGCGAAAGCGGUUUUCUAGCUUAUACCUGACGCUGAGGCGCGAAAGCAAGGGGAUCAAACAGG